rnacentral:rRNA from 1 species
GAUGAACGCUGGCGGCGUGCCUAAUACAUGCAAGUCGAGCGAACGGACGAGAAGCUUGCUUCUCUGAUGUUAGCGGCGGACGGGUGAGUAACACGUGGAUAACCUACCUAUAAGACUGGGAUAACUUCGGGAAACCGGAGCUAAUACCGGAUAAUAUUUUGAACCGCAUGGUUCAAAAGUGAAAGACGGUCUUGCUGUCACUUAUAGAUGGAUCCGCGCUGCAUUAGCUAGUUGGUAAGGUAACGGCUUACCAAGGCAACGAUGCAUAGCCGACCUGAGAGGGUGAUCGGCCACACUGGAACUGAGACACGGUCCAGACUCCUACGGGAGGCAGCAGUAGGGAAUCUUCCGCAAAGGGCGAAAGCCUGACGGAGCAACGCCGCGUGAGUGAUGAAGGUCUUCGGAUCGUAAAACUCUGUUAUUAGGGGAGAACAUAUGUGUAAGUAACUGUGCACAUCUUGACGGUACCUAAUCAGAAAGCCACGGCUAACUACGUG